CGGUGGAAAGAAACGAUGCAAAAUGCGUCUGUAAGUAAAAAAAGGAAAGAAAUUUGCAGACUGAGUUAAAGUGUCUGGCAGCUCAGUGGCCACGGCUUAAAAAGUCUGCACUUGAAGAGUACAAGGUCAGGAUGGUAGGGGUUGGCUGUGAUGAUGACGAAGAAGAGAACACAGAUGUACUAAACAAACAGUGCAAAGGAAUGCUCAGUCUGUUGUUAUCGGAUUCUGAAACGAUACAACCUCUUCACAGAUGCUUAUCAUAUUCUUGGCUGGGGAUACAGGUACCUCCUUACUCUGCCUGUGGGAGCAUGUGAGAGAAGUUUCUCUGUUCUCAAACACAUAAAAAGCAGAAUAAGAAGCACACAGUCGCAAGAACAUCUGGAAGCAUUCAUGCUUAUGACUACAGAGAAAGACAUCCUCAUGUCCCUUGACAAUGACUUGGUCAUAGACAGAGUUGCAGAAAAAAGCGACCUGUUGAAGAAAAUACUUAUCCUCCAACAUUGAGUAAGAUAACUGUUUUGUAUUGGUUCAGCCAGAGGGACUGCAGUAUGUUGAGACCUCCAUUUCUAUUUUAACCCUAAACAGUGAAGAAGGUGCAGCAGCGCCUCUUCUUUCUCAGGAGACUGAAGAGAUUCGGCAUGAGUCCCCGCAUCCUCAGGACCUUCUAUCGCUGUGCCAUUGAGAGCAUCCUCACUGGAUGCAUCACCACCUGGUACGGCAACAGCACCGCCUACAACCGCAAAGCUCUCCAGAGAGUGGUGCGGUGUGCUGAAAGAAUAAUUGGAGGUGAGCUUCCCUCCCUCCAGGACAUCUACAGGAAGCGGUGCCUGAGGAAAGCGGGGAG